rnacentral:rRNA from 1 species
AGGAGUAUCUAACAGAGCUUACUUUUACAUGAGAUCGUGCACGGCCGUUCGCAGAGACUGGACAGAAUGAGAUCGACCUGGAAGAAUAAGGCGGAGCGUGUAUUCGUGAGCCAAAAGUUUCAGAUUGUUCUGAGGGAUCUUAGGAUGAUUCUGUCAAAAUGGCUUCUACUGACCCGUCUUGAAACACGGACCAAGGAGUCUACCUAUUAUGCGAGUGUGAGGGUGUAAAAGCCUGAACGCGUACCGAAAGGGAGUAUAAGAUGUGAGAUGUCAAAGUUGCAACAUCGACCAUUCCUGAACCUCCGGUGAAGGAUAUGAGUAAGAGCAUAAUCGGUAGGACCCGAAAGAUGGUGAACUACACUUGAGUAGGGUGAAGCCAGGGGAAACUCUGGUGGAGGCUCGUAGCGUUACUGACGUGCAAAUCGUUCGUCAAACUUGCGUGUAGGGGAG